GAUGAACGCUGGCGGCGUGCCUAACACAUGCAAGUCGAACGGAGCUGCUUUGAUGAAGUUUUCGGAUGGAUUUAAAACAGCUUAGUGGCGGACGGGUGAGUAACGCGUGGGUAACCUGCCUCACACUGGGGGAUAACAGUUAGAAAUAGCUGCUAAUACCGCAUAAGCGCACGGUUCCGCAUGGAACAGUGUGAAAAACUCCGGUGGUGUGAGAUGGACCCGCGUCUGAUUAGCCAGUUGCGGGUAACGGCCCACCAAGGCGACGAUCGGUAGCCGGACUGAGAGGUUGAACGGCCACAUUGGGACUGAGACACGGCCCAGACUCCUACGGGAGGCAGCAGUGGGGAAUA
rnacentral:rRNA from 1 species